GGAAGAGACACUUUCUGCAAGAUGGCGAAACAAGCUCUACUGGACCAUUUCAUCAUGAAAUGAUACAACUUUUCUGAAUGUGGCAGUAAUAAACCAAAUGAAGCAAGAGACACAGCUCUGAAACGCAAUAAGAAUCGAGUCCUGGGCCGGAAACAAGAAGAUCUGAAGUCUGAUCUCAGUUCUGGAUCUUGCCUGAGCUAUCAUCCACAAAGACCAACGAGCAAGCUGGGUCUCCCAUGCUCCUGCUUCUUCAACAGGCCACCGUCUCACAUCCCUUUUGGGCCUACCAGCCAGAUGUCUCAGCAUUUCUCAAAAACAGAACCCAGCAUUUACUGCCUUUCAGGCUCUGUUGGCCAAGUCCUCUGUGUAGACAAAUGGUGGUUGCUCUCUGCAGCCUUUGGUGUUAUUGAUUUCUUUCCUCUCUUGCCUUCCAUGACUCUAUUUUGGUUCUUCUUCUACUUCCCUGACUGCUCAUCUUUAAUCUCUUUCUGCUUUUUCUUUUCCCUCUCCAUCCUCUAGGACGCUUUCACAACCCUCUUCUUUUCUAUCUGCUUGGGGAUCUCAUUCAAACUCAUAGGUCCCAAUGUUCAUCUAUCAUAUUUGUAUAAGUCACAUAGCUGUUGAUGAAAGCUUUCCAAAAUUCUAAUUCUUGACAGAUCAACUUUUGAUAUUGACAAAUAAAUAAGUCAUUUGUUUUCC
rnacentral:lncRNA from 1 species